UACGUAGGUGGCAAGCGUCGUUCGGAAUUAUUGGGCGUAAAGGGCGCGUAGGCGGUUUGGUAAGUCAGCUGUGAAAGCCCGGGGCUCAACCCCGGAGGGUCGGCUGAUACUGCUAGGCUAGAGUACAGAAGAGGUAACUGGAAUUCCCGGUGUAGCGGUGAAAUGCGUAGAGAUCGGGAGGAACACCAGAGGCGAAGGCGGCGAACUGGACAGUAACUGACACUCAACUACGAAAGCGUGGGUAGCAAACAGG
rnacentral:rRNA from 1 species